UAUGGAUGUAUUUUUACUUACUCUACUUUCUCAUCUGCUUUGGCAUCAGCGCUGAAUAGAUUUAAGACAUCUGCGCAUGUGUCUUCAGGUGCUGAAGAAAAACACCCUUCUCUGUACAUUGCCUAUUGGGCUGACACUUAAACAUUGCUCUGGGAUGUUGCAAACAGACCAAGCUAGAAAGGUACAAAAUGACUUUAUGUGCCUUAGUUGGAAUGUUGAUCUUAUUCUCUUAGACAAUCAACUUGUCCCUCUCUGCAUCCUGUUACACGCUGAGGACAGAAUAUUUGGAGGAUGUUGUACCUGCCCCUGAAACACUGCAACUCACUGAGUUGGAAAAUUGAGAAACUAUAAAGAAGAAAUUCUACCCUGCACUGUGGAUUCCCAGUGUUUUAUUUUGGAUGCCUUAUUCACCCAAGAGCAACAAGUUACGAAGGCAUCGAGAAAGCAUGGACAACAGCUGAGUCUUAUCACUGUGUGGCAGGGAUGGAUUUCUGGAAGACAUGCAAGAAGAGGCUACUGAUGAGAGUGCACCCCAGUUGCAACAAGGAGUCACAUUAAAAGUACUGACCUGAGUCUCAGAAGACAUUUUGAACUUCUAAAUAAUAUUUAACCGAUGAUAAAUAAGUGGCUGCAUUUCUAAGGAAAAGUGACCCUUGCUCAUCCAGCAGUCAUCAGUACUAAUGGAACCCAGGAUUAUUUCCAAGAAGUGCAAAUAUGGAUGAAGUUGAGAUUUGGACUUUCUAUCUUUGUGACGAACUGAGUUGGAGUUUUGAUGGGGAAUUGCACUGGAACUGUAUAUUGCUUUUGCAUGUAUCCGAUUGCAGCAAACUGAUCCAGUAAAUAGAAGGUCUACAGCAAAUGAGUCAUAAAAGCGCUGCGCAGUGUGUUGCCCCUCUCUUUCAGACCCUGGCUUCUGGCAAGAGAAAAUAUGGUGAAACUACAAGGACCAGAAGUCCUUUCGGUUUUCAACUUCCCUUGGAGCCAAGCCUGGGAGUGACACCCACUUCAUUCAAUUCCUGUGGUUGUGGGAACACUGGAAAGUGGUUUGUUUUCCCUUUUGUUACAUUCAGGAUUUCUUUGAUUGAAUCUUGUCUUCGCAAUAAUUACUGAUAAUACAAGUCUCGCCUUUGUAUUUUUCCCGUUAAUCUUGGAAUGCGGCUAAAAGAAGGAAGUGAACGAUUCAGAAUUAAAUCAGGGAUUACAGAAGUCACGAUUCAGUAAGCAUAGUUUUAAAAUGAAAAAUUUUCAUGGAAUUUUCAGCAAAUUCGUAGGCUUUUUAAAAAUUAUUAUACGUAAACUUAGAUGUGAUUCUUUAACAGAGUAUGCUGUAAUUCUGAAUUUCUUAAAUAUAUCUGCAUACACACACACACACACACACACACACACAGAGAGAGAGAGAGAGAGAGAGA
ensembl:lncRNA